rnacentral:rRNA from 1 species
AUUGAACGCUGGCGGCGUGCUUAACACAUGCAAGUCGAUCGGUAACAGGCGUAGCAAUACAUGCUGACGAGAGGCGGACGGGUGAGUAAUGCUUGGGAAUCUGCCUAUUAGUGGGGGACAACCCGGGGAAACUCGGGCUAAUACCGCAUACGCUCUACGGAGGAAAGCCGGGGACCGCAAGGCCUGGCGCUAAUAGAUGAGCCCAAGUCGGAUUAGCUAGUUGGUAGGGUAACGGCCUACCAAGGCGACAAUCCGUAGCUGGUCUGAGAGGACGACCAGCCACACCGGAACUGAGACACGGUCCGGACUCCUACGGGAGGCAGCAGUGGGGAAUUUUGGACAAUGGCGCAAGCCUGAUCCAGCCAUGCCGCGUGUGUGAAGAAGGCCU